rnacentral:rRNA from 1 species
GAUGAACGCUGGCGGCGUGCCUAAUACAUGCAAGUCGAGCGAACAGACGAGGAGCUUGCUCCUCUGACGUUAGCGGCGGACGGGUGAGUAACACGUGGAUAACCUACCUAUAAGACUGGGAUAACUUCGGGAAACCGGAGCUAAUACCGGAUAAUAUAUUGAACCGCAUGGUUCAAUAGUGAAAGACGGUUUUGCUGUCACUUAUAGAUGGAUCCGCGCCGCAUUAGCUAGUUGGUAAGGUAACGGCUUACCAAGGCAACGAUGCGUAGCCGACCUGAGAGGGUGAUCGGCCACACUGGAACUGAGACACGGUCCAGACUCCUACGGGAGGCAGCAGUAGGGAAUCUUCCGCAAUGGGCGAAAGCCUGACGGAGCAACGCCGCGUGAGCGAUGAAGGUCUUCGGAUCGUAAAACUCUGUUAUUAGGGAAGAACAAAUGUGUAAGUAACUAUGCACGUCUGGACGGUACCUAAGCAGAAAGCCACGGCUAACUACGU